AGCCUUCCUCAGCGAUUGGUCAGAAUGGACGCCAUGUGGUCUCUGCGUUCCAUCACCUCGGAACGACUCCGGACCGCCGUCCUUCUACUCCGUCCAGAACCGGCACCGGAUCUGCCUGAAUUCUCAGACCGGCUUCCCAUGGAGCGCAGAGUCUCCAUCAUGUACAGGGGAGCUGACCCAGGAGAGGCUUUGCCCGGACCGGGGGAUCUGUGAUGAUCUGUGUGUCUGGAGCAAGUGGGGGGAAUGGAGUCCGUGCCGGGAGCCCUGCAGUGGUGGCUUCCGCUCUAGAUGGCGCCAUGUUCAUCACCCCAUAGAUGCCACACAGUGCCGGGGUGCCCGCUACCAGUCUGAGAGCUGUAACACGGCGGCCUGCCCAGGAGAGAAGUGUGAGGACCGCGGGAAGGCCUCCAAGGUGCCAUGCGCCAAC